GCCCUGACCUCUAGGAACUCUUGCUGUAAGGAGACGUGACCGGCUGACCCGCAGCCUCAGCAGCUGUCGUCCCUGCGGCCCCCUCAUGCCUUCCCACAGCCCAUGUUUCUGGAAGGGGUGCAGAGCUUUGAAAGGCUGGUCUGGGGCCUGCGUAAGCCCGGCACCUCUCGGGGCUCGUGCCUCCUGCCGUACCGAGAGCUUGUGCUGUUCCCUGGGUUGACAGUCCCUUCCUGGUGACACACCGAAGGCUCUGGGUCCAGCAGCAGGACUGGCCUCGGGCACACGUGAGACCUGAUGCUCCCAGCCCCUCAGAGACAGAGUUCCUGGCGACGGGCUGAGCAGC